CAUUCAUUCAUGUUUCCCUGACAUGUUCCACCUGUUGAUCAUGUGACUUCAUUCACAUGAUCAACAGGAAGUGGAAUCAGUUGCGUCUCCUCGAGGCCAUGGGGGACAAAAAAACAUCCACUGCCUUGGGACUUCAAGCAGCCUGAGAUGACAGUUCCUCUUUUGAGGUCAGUAGCUGCCCUUCUCCUUCAGCUACUGCAUCAUGGAAGACGAGCUCCAAAUGAGAUCAAAGAAAAACUGUAGGAGAAGGAGAGCCCAUACUCCCAGAUUUCCAGGCCUACAUCAUCAGAUAAAGCCAGAGAUGGAUGUAAUCAGAAGAAAAAUCUUGAAGCAGGAUGCCGGCAGCAAACUCUUCUUCCUGGCAUUGAGGGAUUCAACACUGCAGUGAAACUAAAGGAUGUGACAUUAUUUUAAAGAAGACCAGCGCUGAUUGAAGGCACCUGGCUGAGCAGUUAAAGGCCGGAGCCAGAGUCUUGCCAGGUCUCUCUUUUGGCUGAAGGACUCUGGGGAGAGCAGCCUUGUUCAUGCUUAGGUUUCCCUUUUGUUUUGGUUCGGCAUGCAACACCCUACAUCAUACCAUGUUCACACAUUCACAUCUACACUACUGAUCUUACUGACUAACACACCUCAUGA